GACGAACGCUGGCGGCGUGCUUAACACAUGCAAGUCGAACGGUGAAGCUCCAGCUUGCUGGAGUGGAUCAGUGGCGAACGGGUGAGUAACACGUGAGCAACCUGCCCCUGACUCUGGAAUAAGCGCUGGAAACGGCGUCUAAUACUGGAUAUGAGAAGGGUCCGCAUGGACACUUUCUGGAAAGUUUUUCGGUUGGGGAUGGGCUCGCGGCCUAUCAGCUUGUUGGUGAGGUAAUGGCUCACCAAGGCGACGACGGGUAGCCGGCCUGAGAGGGCGACCGGCCACACUGGGACUGAGACACGGCCCAGACUCCUACGGGAGGCAGCAGUGGGGAAUAUUGCACAAUGGGCGAAAGCCUGAUGCAGCGACGCCGCGUGAGGGAUGACGGCCUUCGGGUUGUAAACCUCUUUCAGCAGGGAAGAAGCGAAAGUGACGGUAUCUGCAGAAGAAGCACCGGCUAACUACGUG
rnacentral:rRNA from 1 species